rnacentral:tRNA from 1 species
GUGGAUAUAGCUCAGUGAUGGAGUGCUUACCUAGCAUGCUGGGGCUCUAGGUUCAAUUCCCAGUAACCACC